CAAACACGCCAUACGUAUGGUUUGGCGCUAGUAUCGUUCUCGCCUUGUGGAACUACGAUCAUUAUUGGGGGUUGGUCGCAAGGCUAAAACCUUGCACCGUAAAAAGGAAAUGUUUCGAAACCCCGAUCAAAGCCUCCGACAGACGGAUCUAACAGAGGACCGAAUGGAAGAGGAGAAUUGAGGAGGCCAUGGACCGAAUACGGACGGGAGAGCCAUAGAAGAUGAAGAAAGAAGAAUGUGUGAAUACAAAUUUUUAUUUCAAUCAUUAAAUGAUGAUGAUUAACAUAAGAAAAUACUAACUUAAUUUUUCUUAAUCAUGCAAGACAUGGUGUAAUAUCCUUUCCUUUUUUUCUAGGAAAAAACCAUGUGGUUUCAUGUUCUUAUGAUGAAAAUUCAAUAAAGAAAUUCUUACAAA